rnacentral:rRNA from 1 species
UUGAAGUCAGUCGUACCUUCGGGUAAUCAGCCUUUCGGGUGCGAUUCUGUGGGGUGUGAGGAGUUAAACGCCUUCACGUUUUGCAUAUUCGUGCUCUUGGGUGUACUUGCCCGUGUGGUUGGUUAACAUCAAUUUUGGACGCCAUAAAAUGGCUGGAGGAAUGUAGCUUCGAUCUCGUAUUGAAGUGUUAUAGCCUUCGGUAGAUGUGGUUUUCGAGAUUGAGGAUUGCAACGGAUACCCUUCGGGGCUACCUAUCUGAUCUCUGAUCGUUGCUCUGGUGCCGAAAGCUUGCUUACGGUUAUCAAAGUCGAUGGUCAAUAUGUUAGAAUGGGUUAAAUUCGUUAAGGAUGUUGACGUA